AUAUUUAAGAGGGUUUAAUGUUGAUUUUCCUCUCAGACUCUCUUAAAGGGAAUCAGAGGUGUGUUGCUGAUAUUCUCCGUGCUUGAGUUCAUCAUCUCCAUCUGUCUGUCAGCGUUCGCCUGUAAAGCCGACGCCUGCUGCUGUCCUCCUCAGGUGCAGUUUGCUCAGGUUUUACCUCCACAGUCGUCUGAUGUGGUUCGUUUCCAGGAUCUGAACAGAUCAGAGAUACCCGUGACCAGCAGCUCUUUCAUUCAUCAACAUCCUGCAGACGUUCCUCCACAAUACACUGAAAGCAAAUAUGAAUAAGUGUUCCCUCAAAAAAAAAAAGGAACAUACAGGACAUGUUCAAAA